rnacentral:rRNA from 1 species
UUAGCUGCAGAAGAAGCACCGGCUAACUCCGUGCCAGCAGCCGCGGUAAUACGGAGGGUGCGAGCGUUAAUCGGAAUUACUGGGCGUAAAAGCGCAUGCAGGUGGUUUGUUAAGUCAGAUGUGAAAGCCCGGGGCUCAACCUCGGAAUUGCAUUUGAAACUGGCAAACUAGAGUACUGUAGAGGGGGUAGAAUUUCAGGUGUAGCGGUGAAAUGCGUAGAGAUCUGAAGGAAUACCGGUGGCGAAGGCGGCCCCCUGGACAGAUACUGACACUCAGAUGCGAAAGCGUGGGGAGCAAACAGGAUUAGAUACCCUGGUAG